rnacentral:lncRNA from 1 species
CUCCGAGACAAUAUAUUGCAAAGAAGGCCUCAAAAGUUCUCUUCUAAUCAUGUCAUGUAUAGCUGUAUAGGACCUCCGUUGAUUCAUUUAGCCUGCUUUUAAAACUCAAUUUUGACAUUUAAAAAACACACUCAAUUAUGCAUUUGUGUAGUCAUAGAACUAGCUUAGCAACCAACAAUACUUUCAGAACUAUCAGUGCAUUCACUCUCAAGAGUGCAUUGUUGGAUGCAUACUUUACAUUGAUGUACUUGCAACAACACCACGGAAGCAAUAUGCGUGAGCUUAAUAUUUGUGAAGGACAACUCCCUGUGUGCAAUCACUAGGUAGAGCAAUAUGGGAUUUUUUAUUUUUAUUUUUUUUGUGGUAGCAUAUGCACUAAACUCCUUAGAGAAGGGUUUAAACCCCAAGCAAACAUUAAAGUUGAACAAAUCCUUUAGAGUCUAAAAGAAAAACCUUGUAAAUAAACAAAUAGCACAUCAUUGUAGAUUUAUGUGCACUUACAACG